rnacentral:rRNA from 1 species
CAGCCGCCACGGGAAUACGAGGGGAGCUAGCGUUGUUCGGAAUUACUGGGCGUAAAGCGCGCGUAGGCGGCUUUUUAAGUCAGAGGUGAAAGCCCGGGGCUCAACCCCGGAAUUGCCUUUGAAACUGGAAAGCUAGAAUCUUGGAGAGGUCAGUGGAAUUCCGAGUGUAGAGGUGAAAUUCGUAGAUAUUCGGAAGAACACCAGUGGCGAAGGCGACUGACUGGACAAGUAUUGACGCUGAGGUGCGAAAGCGUGGGGAGCAAACAGGAUUAGAUACCCCUGUAGUCCCUGUCUCUUAUAC